GGGCUCGUAGCUCAGCUUGGUUAGAGCGCCGGUCUUAUAAGCCGGAGGUCUGGGGUUCAAAAGUUGAAACCACCAGCGGGUUUCAACCCUUCCUGCCACCAAUAUUUGGAAAUCCCCACGAGCCCA
rnacentral:tRNA from 1 species